CAUGUGAUGACUUGGUGAUAUUGGAAAAACAUAAAAUGAUUUGUUAUGCUAUGGAUUAUACAAAAGUGAUAUGGCUGUUGUCAUGAUGAUUGCACCACAUGACCUGAUCUGUCGUCAUCUGGCUUGCAGCAGCGGUAUUAUGAUGUUCCUUGACAAUGCAUUACGAUGACUUGAUUCAUGUAAUUGAUGCUUUACUAUUACAUAGACAUAGGUCGAAAAAUGCUAUACAUAUUUACUCAGUAAGUGCUACAUAUAUAUUAUAUAUAUGAUUUUUUCUGCACAGGUCACAAACAUGACAUGUAAAGAUUGUACAACUGUUAGGCCUUAUUGCUACAUGUGAGAAGUAGAUGUAGUGAUAUGUAUGUAAAUGAAAAUGAAGUGCGAGUUACUGUAUAUAGUAAAGUAUGUUUCUGUAAGGAAUGGAUGUCCAACGCCGGUCCUCGAGGACCCCUAUCCAGCAUGUUUUAAAUGUCUUCCUCCUCCAACACACC